rnacentral:rRNA from 1 species
AGGACGAACGCUGGCGGCGUGCUUAACACAUGCAAGUCGAGCAGUGACCCUCCUUCGGGAGGUGAUCAGCGGCGAACGGGUGAGUAACACGUGGGCAACCUGCCCCUCACACUGGGAUAACCUCGGGAAACCGGGGCUAAUACCGGAUACGACCUCGAGCGGCAUCUCUUGAGGUGGAAAGCUCCGACGGUGAGGGAUGGGCCCGCGGCCUAUCAGCUAGUUGGUGGGGUAAUGGCCUACCAAGGCGACGACGGGUAGCCGGCCUGAGAGGGCGACCGGCCACACUGGGACUGAGACACGGCCCAGACUCCUACGGGAGGCAGCAGUGGGGAAUAUUGCGCAAUGGGCGAAAGCCUGACGCAGCGACGCCGCGUGAGGGAUGGAAGGCCUUCGGGUUGUAAACCUCUUUCAGCAGGGACGAAGCGAAAGUGACGGUACCUGCAGAAGAAGCGCCGGCUAACUACGUGCCAGCAGCCGCGGUAA